UUUAUUGCAAGCAGUAUCCGCGAUCUCAAAAGAAAAAUAUUCAUUUAUUCUUGUCGUCGAUGACUGUGCUCGUUGGUCUCUUUGUAUUAAAUAAUAAGCAUGAUUAAUAAAUAAAUAAUAUUAAUUUUGUGUCUACAUGAUCGUAGAAUAAAUGGUGUGAUCAUGGUAACACAAAGAAAGUCUAAAGUUCUAAUUCCAAAGUCACGAUUUUAUUCUAAUCACGUCCGUAUUGAGCGAAUGAAUAAACGAAGUGAAACCUCCCGACACUCCAGAGAUUCAUAGUCGCACAUUUACAAGAGAGAGCUCGUCGUUGAUCGAACGACGCGAUCGUGUGUAACUGUAGCCGAUGGAGAGUAUACGUCGCAUUCGACUCCAAUUGCAAGAGAAGCAAGGUGUAACCUUCCUUCCACCAACCACUAAAAUUCCAUCCCAAGG